AGAGUUUGAUCAUGGCUCAGGAUGAACGCUAGCGGCAGGCCUAAUACAUGCAAGUCGAACGGAUGUAGCAAUACAUUAGUGGCGCACGGGUGCGUGACGCGUAUGCAACCUACCUUUCAGUGGGGGAUAGCCCGGGGAAACCCGGAUUAAUACCGCAUAAGAUAGUUGACUGGCAUCAGUUAAUUAUGAAACAUUUAUGGCUGAAAGAUGGGCAUGCGUUAGAUUAGCUAGUUGGUGAGGUAGCAGCUCACCAAGGCGAUGAUCUAUAGGGGUUCUGAGAGGAAGAUCCCCCACACUGGUACUGAGACAGGGACCAGACUCCUACGGGAGGCAGCAGUAGGGAAUAUUGGGCAAUGGAGGCAACUCUGACCCAGCCAUGCCGCGUGCAGGAAGAAGGCCUUCUGGGUUGUAAACUGCUUUUGGAAGUGAACAAAAAGACACUGCGGUGUAAAUUGAGUGUAGCUUCAGAAUAAGCACCGGCUAACUCCGUGCCAGCAGCCGCGGUAAUACGGAGGGUGCAAGCGUUGUCCGGAUUUAUUGGGUUUAAAGGGUGCGUAGGCGGCUACUUAAGUCAGGGGUGAAAGACGAUUGCUUAACAAUCGCAGUGCCUUUGAUACUGAGUAGCUUGAGUACAGAUGAGGCAGGCGGAAUGGGUGGUGUAGCGGUGAAAUGCAUAGAUACCAUCCAGAACACCGAUUGCGAAGGCAGCCUGCUAAACUGUAACUGACGCUGAGGCACGAAAGCGUGGGGAUCGAACAGGAUUAGAUACCCUUGUAGUCC
rnacentral:rRNA from 1 species